UACGUAGGGGGCUAGCGUUGUCCGGAAUCAUUGGGCGUAAAGCGCGUGUAGGCGGUCCGGUAAGUCCGCUGUGAAAGUCCGGGGCUCAACUCCGGAUCUGCGGUGGGUACGGGCAGACUAGAGUGAUGUAGGGGAGACUGGAAUUCCACGUGUAGCAGUGAAAUGCGUAGAGAUGUGGAGGAACACCGAUGGCGAAGGCAGCCCCCUGGGUCAAGAUUGACGCUCAUGCACGAAAGCGUGGGGGAGCAAACAGG
rnacentral:rRNA from 1 species